AGUGAACGCUGGCGGUAGGCCUAACACAUGCAAGUCGAACGGCAGCACAGUAAGAGCUUGCUCUUACGGGUGGCGAGUGGCGGACGGGUGAGGAAUACAUCCGAAUCUACUUUUUCGUGGGGGCUAACGUAGGGAAACUUACGCCAAUACCGCAUACGACCUACGGGUGAAAGCAGGGGAUCUUCGGACCUUGCGCGAUUGAAUGAGCCGAUGUCGGAUUAGCUAGUUGGCGGGGUAAAGGCCCACCAAGGCGACGAUCCGUAGCUGGUCUGAGAGGAUGAUCAGCCACACUGGAACUGAGACACGGUCCAGACUCCUACGGGAGGCAGCAGUGGGGAAUAUUGGACAAUGGGCGCAAGCCUGAUCCAGCCAUACCGCGUGGGUGAAGAAGGCCUUCGGGUUGUAAAGCCCUUUUGUUGGGAAAGAAAAGCAGCAGGUUAAUACCCCGCUGUUCUGACGGUACCCAAAGAAUAAGCACCGGCUAACUUCGUG
rnacentral:rRNA from 1 species